GGGAAUGUAGCUUAGCGGUAGAGUGCUUGCCUAGCAUGCAUGAAGCCCUGGGUUUGAUUCCUAGUACCA
rnacentral:tRNA from 1 species